UGAGGAAUAUUGGUCAAUGGACGCAAGUCUGAACCAGCCAAGUAGCGUGCAGGAUGACGGCCCUAUGGGUUGUAAACUGCUUUUAUGCGGGGAUAAAGUGUGCCAUGUAUGGCAUUUUGUAGGUACCGCAUGAAUAAGGACCGGCUAAUUCCGUGCCAGCAGCCGCGGUAAUACGGAAGGUCCGGGCGUUAUCCGGAUUUAUUGGGUUUAAAGGGAGCGUAGGCCGUCGUUUAAGCGUGUUGUGAAAUGCCGCGGCUCAACCGUGGCACUGCAGCGCGAACUGGAUGACUUGAGUUCGCGGGAGGUAGGCGGAAUUCGUGGUGUAGCGGUGAAAUGCUUAGAUAU
rnacentral:rRNA from 1 species